rfam:Camelus ferus unplaced genomic scaffold scaffold1629, whole genome shotgun sequence.
GGAGGGAACAGCCCAAGUGGUAGAGCGCAUGCUUAGCAUGCAUGAGGUCCUGGGUUCAAUCCCCAGUACUUCCA